GGAAGGUCCCCCACAUUGGAACUGAGACACGGUCCAAACUCCUACGGGAGGCAGCAGUGAGGAAUAUUGGUCAAUGGACGAGAGUCUGAACCAGCCAAGUAGCGUGAAGGAUGAAGGUCCUACGGAUUGUAAACUUCUUUUAUAAGGGAAUAAAACCUCCCACGUGUGGGAGCUUGUAUGUACCUUAUGAAUAAGCAUCGGCUAACUCCGUGCCAGCAGCCGCGGUAAUACGGAGGAUGCAAGCGUUAUCCGGAUUUAUUGGGUUUAAAGGGUGCGUAGGCGGCACGCCAAGUCAGCGGUGAAAUUUCCGGGCUCAACCCGGAGUGUGCCGUUGAAACUGGUGAGCUAGAGUGCACAAGAGGCAGGCGGAAUGCGUGGUGUAGCGGUGAAAUGCAUAGAUAUCACGCAGAACCCCGAUUGCGAAGGCAGCCUGCUAGGGUGCGACAGACGCUGAGGCACGAAAGCGUGGGUAUCGAACAGGAUUAGAUACCCUGGUAGUCCACGCAGUAAACGAUGAAUACUAACUGUUUGCGAUACAAUGUAAGCGGUACAGCGAAAGCGUUAAGUAUUCCACCUGGGGAGUACGCCGGCAACGGUGAAACUCAAAGGAAUUGACGGGGGCCCGCACAAGCGGAGGAACAUGUGGUUUAAUUCGAUGAUACGCGAGGAACCUUACCCGGGCUCAAACGCAGGGGGAAUAUAUAUGAAAGUAUAUAGCUAGCAAUAGUCACCUGCGAGGUGCUGCAUGGUUGUCGUCAGCUCGUGCCGUGAGGUGUCGGCUUAAGUGCCAUAACGAGCGCAACCCCUAUGGACAGUUACUAACGGGUGAAGCCGAGGACUCUGUCGAGACUGCCGGCGCAAGCCGCGAGGAAGGUGGGGAUGACGUCAAAUCAGCACGGCCCUUACGUCCGGGGCGACACACGUGUUACAAUGGCAGGUACAGAAGGCAGCCAGUCAGCAAUGACGCGCGAAUCCCGAAAACCUGUCUCAGUUCGGAUUGGAGUCUGCAACCCGACUCCAUGAAGCUGGAUUCGCUAGUAAUCGCGCAUCAGCCAUGGCGCGGUGAAUACGUUCCCGGGCCUUGUACACACCGCCCGUCAAGCCAUGGAAGCCGGGAGUACCUGAAGCAUGCAACCGCAAGGAGCGUACGAAGGUAAUACCGGUAACUGGGGCUAAGUCGUAACAAGGUAGCCGUACCGGAAGGUGCGGCUG
rnacentral:rRNA from 1 species